GACAUAGGUGGCGAACGUUAUCCGGAAUUAUUGGGCGUAAAGGAUGCGUAGAUGGUAGAAUAAGUUACUGGUCGAUGCCAAACUCAAUUUGACGGAAGCUGGUAAUACUGUUCUGCUCGAGGACAGGAGAGGUUGAUGGAAUUCUGUGUGGAGCGGUGAAAUGCGUUGAUCUACAGAGGAACACCAAAAAGGCGAAGGCAGUCAACUAUUCUGUUCCUGACA
rnacentral:rRNA from 1 species